GACGAACGCUGGCGGCGUGCUUAACACAUGCAAGUCGAACGGAAAGGCCCUGCUUGCAGGGUACUCGAGUGGCGAACGGGUGAGUAACACGUGGGUGAUCUGCCCUGCACUUCGGGAUAAGCCUGGUAAACUGGGUCUAAUACCGGAUAGGAGCCAUUUUUAGUGUGAUGGUUGGAAAGUUUUUUCGGUGUAGGAUGAGCUCGCGGCCUAUCAGCUUGUUGGUGGGGUAAUGGCCUACCAAGGCGGCGACGGGUAGCCGGCCUGAGAGGGUGGACGGCCACAUUGGGACUGAGAGACGGCCCAGACUCCGACGGGAGGCAGCAGUGGGGAAUAUUGCACAAGGGGCGCAAGCCUGAUGCAGCGACGCCGCGUGGGGGAUGACGGCCUUCGGGUUGUAAACUCCUUUCGCUAGGGACGAAGCUUUUUGUGACGGUACCUAGAUAAGAAGCACCGGCUAACUACGUG
rnacentral:rRNA from 1 species